rnacentral:rRNA from 1 species
GAGUUUGAUCCUGGCUCAAGAUGAACGCUAGCUACAGGCUUAACACAUGCAAGUCGAGGGGCAGCAUGUUGGUUGCUUGCAACCAACGAUGGCGACCGGCGCACGGGUGAGUAACGCGUAUCCAACCUACCCUUGUCCAUCGGAUAACCCGUCGAAAGGCGGCCUAACACGAUAUGCGGUUCACAGCAGGCAUCUAACGUGAACGAAAUGUGAAGGAGAAGGAUGGGGAUGCGUCUGAUUAGCUUGUUGGCGGGGUAACGCCACCAAGGCUACGAUCAGUAGGGUUCUGAGAGGAAGGUCCCCCANAUUGGAACUGAGGACACGGUCCAAACUCCUACGGGAGGCA